GCGGCCUUGGAGGCGGGUGUCUGGCCCUUGGUCUACCGCUUGCUGAGACCCCUUCCCUCUCGGGUCAGAGGCGCCUUUGCGCUCCGGUUCUUAGCCUUCUCUCGGUGCCCCGGCGACAGAAAGAUGACACAGAGACAUAGAGAGGGAAAGGCCCUGAGACAUGGAGAAGUCGAGACCCAGUUACCGCCAAGAAGUGAAGUCCCAGACACAUGUACCUGGUGAACCCAUCCCAGCUGAGGGACCAGUCAUUGAGGGAAGAAGAUACCUAGGUUGUCCCAGCCAUCUGAGCUGUUCCUCAUUACCUGGAACAGAGCAAAACUGAAGCCAGGCUGUGAAGUUUCACAUAAUUUUACGAAUACUCAGAGUCUCCUGCACUUUAUACUUUUGCAUGGUGGAAUUAAAGAUGGCUACAAAUUGUUUUGCACUCCUUCCAUGGAAAGAUGGGGACUAAUUCCCCCAACUCCUUGAAUCUGGGCUGGUCUUAGUGUUUGUUGCACCAAUAGACUGUGGUGGAAGUGAAAUACUGAAACUUCUGAGUCAAGGUCCAAGAAGUUUUGCUGCUUCUUUCUGAGUGCCUUUGAACACUUGCUCUGAGGAAAUCCAGCUGCCAUAAAAGAAGCCCAGCUAAUCUGAUACUGCCAUAUUGCAAGGAAGCAGCCGCAGCCAUUCCGGACCCUAGCCGUUCGGUUCUUCCCAGUUAAGGCCCCAGACACUAAUGAAGCAGAGGGGGUGCCACCUCUGCUAACCCACCCAAACCGCGGAUACAUGAGCAAAAUAAAUAAAUGUACUUCUCUAAGCCACUAA